GUUUUUGUUUGUUGAUGAUGUCGGACGGGGUGACUGUGUCUUGGCUGUCCCUGUUUCUUUCUUUGGUCUGAGAGGGAGCAGAGAGAGAGAGACAGUUAAAGGCUUCGCGGCAACACUGGUAACCGACUGAUUCAGUUCAGACUAGUGUUAUCGCUUUGCUGUGACAGGACCCCUCCGCCUGUCUCUCUGUAGGCUGUGGGCAUUACGUCAGAGGAGGAAGACACAGCAGCUCUAUUAAUAUCAAGAAGCCACCCGAAGACUGACUCUUAAAGUGACACGCACUGCAAUCUCACCAAGUUACACAGUUAAUACUGGAGCAGAUCUGCUACUCAUCCUACAUGACCCGCGCUGACUCUUAAAGUGACAUGGACGCUGAAUGACUUAACACAACACAGAUACACGUUUUGUAGAUAAAAAUCAACAACACUGACUCUUAAAGUGACACGGACUCUGAAUGACUUAACACAACACACAGGCACGUUUUGUAGAUAAAAAUCAACAACAUUGACUCUUAAAGAGACAGGCACCACUACCUCACUUAGUUACACAGUUACAACACUGAAGCAGAUGAACCACUCAUUCAAAAUAUAAAGCACUGACUCUUAAAGUGACAAGCACUCAGAGUUACUUGGUGAAAAUAAAUGCACUUUUUUGAAAUAUAAAAUCAACAACACUGACUCUCAAAGAGACACACAGGAUAGUCUCACUUAGUUACAUAGUUAAUAGUGAAUCAGAUCAA